GGAGGAUCCAAGCGUUAUCCGGAAUCAUUGGGUUUAAAGGGUCCGUAGGCGGUUUGAUAAGUCAGUGGUGAAAGCCCAUCGCUCAACGAUGGAACGGCCAUUGAUACUGUCAGACUUGAAUUAUUGUGAAGUAACUAGAAUAUGUAGUGUAGCGGUGAAAUGCUUAGAUAUUACAUGGAAUACCAAUUGCGAAGGCAGGUUACUAACAAUAUAUUGACGCUGAUGGACGAAAGCGUGGGGAGCGAACAGGAUUAGAUACCCUGGUAGUCCACGCCGUAAACGAUGGAUACUAGCUGUUCGGAGCAAUCUGAGUGGCUAAGCGAAAGUGAUAAGUAUCCCACCUGGGGAGUACGUUCGCAAGAAUG
rnacentral:rRNA from 1 species